ACUUUAUGUCUGUGCUAAAUGUUUACAUUUAGUACUUAGAAAGCAAAUUGUUUUGGUAGCGGGAUAAUUGAGAAGUUGGAAUUUAAUGGAGGAGCCAACAUUUUUCAAUAGAAUGAUCACUCAUCUUCGCACAACCUGCAAGAGGAUGAUGACGAGUAGGAAUUGGCAAUGAAGAUA